rnacentral:lncRNA from 1 species
GAUGAAAUUGAAAACACAAUUCAAUUAGGAAAAUGAUAAAAAGAAAAUAAAUAGCAAUUAAAAAAAUAAAGAACACAUUUGGUACAAAAAUGAAAUGAAACUAAGUGAUGAAAGACUAAACUGAAAAAAAAAAGUUAUAAAAAAAAGGAUAAAUAAGAAAUUAAAUAGCAAUAAAAAAAUAAGGAUCAAAUUGGAAAUGAAUUUUUUUUGAAAGACACAUAAAUAACAAUUAAAAGAAUGAAAAUCAAAAUUGAAACAAAACUCAAAUAAAACCAAGUGACGAGGAACUAAAUGGAAGAAACAAAUGAAUAAAAAAGAGAUAAAAAAAAAGAAAUCAAACAGAAAUUAAAAGAAUAAGGACUAAAUUGGACAUUAAAAAAA